AGGGACUUGAACUUUCAAACAUUCAUUACAGACAUGAGGGAGGGGGCUUCUGCAGCUGCUCCAGGAAGCGACAAGAGCAGCGGAUGAGUGUGCCAGGGGGAAGAGGGAGACUCUGAGGGGCAGGUACGGCAACGCGCCUCUCGCUCACUGUGACACUUCUUCAAACUUAAACACCUACUCUACUUUCCAGUCAUAACGCACAUGCUGAGACGAGGGAUCCCAGGGCAAGGGUUUUACCCAAAACCAGAAGAAAGCAUCCGACAUGCAGAGAGAACACAGAAGUCUCCAGAGGGUGAGGGGUGUCAGUGCCCUGGCUGUGGUGCGGAUGUCACGGUGAAUUCCCAGGCCCCCCUCGAGAGCUGCGUGUUCAACGAACGAAAGAUUUUUUUUUUUUUUUUGUCUUUUUUUUUUUUUUUUUUUGUCUUUUUGAGACAGGGUCUCACUGUGCAGUUCAGGCUGGCCUUGAGCUCACUUUGUAGCCCAGGCUGGUCUCCAACUCGAAACGAUCCUCCUGCCUCAGCCUCCCAAGUGCUGGGAUUACAGGCGUGCACCACCAUGUCCGGCCAGGACUGUUUUUUAAAGCUCCCUGGCGUGACGUCACAAGGUCGCACUGAUAGGGCAAGAGAGGCUCCAUUUUGUUUUUAACCCCACAGCAAGAGAAGUCACUUAACGUUCACUUAAGCUGGAGGGGACCCCAGCCGCCUUGGUCAGCGCUCUUAGCCCACUCAGAGCAGUCAUGAAAGGGAGUGGAACCGAUGGGACAGACUGGGAAGUGAGCUAAAAGCUGAACUGCGAUGGCCGUGUGGGAUUCGGCGUCCGACCUGCUGGGAGAAGUGAACUUGGUGAUAACUGUGACACUCUUCCGAGACCCCCACACAUGAGGUAAUGGCUACUAUGGAAAAGUAAAAUGUACCUAAACCGAGGGCGAGCCCCGGAGUGGCGCGGACACCUCUGGCUCCUGGCCGGAAACGUCCCUCAGCCGGCUCAGAGCUCCGUGUUGCGCUUUCCAGCUCUCCUGUGAGCGCGUUCAGGAUGCGCUUGCUCGCUGUGUCAGCACAACUGACCCGACCUGCUCCCCAGCGCCGGAAUUCGGCCUAGCGACGUGCGCCCCGGGCAGUGGGCGUUCCUGUUGCUGCAGCCCCUGCCCCAAGCAGCACCUGCCGGUCUUCGGACCUGGGCCAGGGCCCAGCUGGCCGGGUUGGGGCUGGGCUCAGGGCCCACGAGAGUCAUGGGGCCAGGCUGGGCUGCGCCAUCCCACUGCAGAGCACCCACCUCUCCCAGCUGUGUCCUUUCCGGCUUUCUAGCACCUUCCUGUUGGGGGACCCACACCCCAUACCCUGCUGUCAGAGGACAGCCUGGCCCACCCGCCAGCGCGGGACCCACACCGCCCUGGCACCUGUGCCUGGGGACAGCCUCGCACCACCCUCUGGCAGGUGGGACACAGCUGGUGCUCCAGUAGCUGCACUCCUCAGGUGGGGCGUCGGCCACACACAGCCUCUGAGCCCAAGGCGCUGAAGCCCAGCACCCGGCAGAGCCCAGGAGGGCGUCAGCCUCGGCCACCCCCGCGACCGCAGGCCGAGCGCUCGGUGUCCUCGUGUGAGCAGCACAGCGGCAGAGCUCCCUGACUCCCAGGGCCCCUGAACUUGUAAAGAUAAACGAACCCCUCCCUAGGUGUCUGCGACCCCCUGCACGUUCUCCUCCCCCACAGAAGGUCCCGCCUAAGAGGCGGGGCGCUGAGGCCCCCAGGCUGCUCCCCGCUGCGCCGCGGGACUCGGGGAGCCGGGACUGCGGGGAGCAGCGCCCCACCCGCCCCAGGCGCUGUGCUGAGCCAGGACAGCGCCCCUCUGGGCCCGGCCGACGCCCACCUGAGCCAAGCCCUGAGGUUCGCUCUUGGGAAGUGGCCGCCCAGGGUUGGGACAGCGACACCGAAGGUCCCCAGCGAAGAUGACCAUAGCCAGGGCGGCGGGGCCCUUGCAGCCACGCACUUCUGGGUGCUGAAACGGCUGGGGCCAACAGCCAGGGACGAGGAAGCCCAGGUCCCUCCCCGCGGGCCGGGCAGGUAGGUCCGAGGCGCCCGAGGCAAGGAGAGCGCCGGACGGGCGGGCACACUGCGCAGCGACUUUAUUCCUGGGUGCCAGCGAGCGGCAUCCGGCCAGUGUCUGUCCAUGGCGCCCUCUGCGUCCCUUGGCCGGCCGCCCCCUUUGUCCUGGGGCGGGAUCCACAGCCCCGGCAGGCGCCCCUCCCCUAGGCCGGCGUGAGGGGCCGGGGACAGGGCGCGGGCCGUUACCCGAGCG
rnacentral:lncRNA from 1 species